GUUAAUUAUUUUGAAACCAUUUUUUAAAAACAUUUGUGACUACUAUUGCAACUAACAUGAUAGUCACUACCAUUAUUUUUAAAAUUUAUUAAUAAAGAAAUUAAAAACGUAUAUAGUAUAAUAAAUUGUUGCCUAAAAAAACAAGAACUAACUAUCACUCCUUAAUCCUUAUUAUUCAUAAUCGCAGUACAUACUCUUCUUCCUUUAAAAAAAAACAAACCAAAGGCUUCCAUGGCGAAUUUCAAAACCAAGUUCAGAACUUCAGAGUGAACUUGUUGCCGUCGUUUUCAUCUUCCGUCGCUGCUAGCACAUCUCAUCCCAGGCUAGUUACGUAUUCUUCCCCUUCCUACCGUCCAUUCCAUCUUUCUCUUAAUACAAUUUGAGGUUUUUUGUCCAAUUUUUUAUUUUAUUUUGGUUUCCAUUGCGAAUUGCGGAUCGAUUUUAAUCUAAUUAUUGUUUGAAAUGCGUAUUGAUUGAGUUGUGAAUUGAUUUUAAUCUAAUUAUUGAUUAAAUUGAUUGAAUUGCAAAAUGAUUGAGUUGCGAAUUGAUCUGACUUUAAUUUGGUUUCCAUUUGAAUUGCGUUGAUUGAAUUGAUUUUAAUUUGGCUGCCAAUUGCUUAAUUUAGGGUUAUCAUUGAAGUCAAUUAAUGUGAAACCAUUCAAAAUUGAUUGAUUAUUUAGUUUGUGUAUGCGAGAUAGCUACAAAAUAGCAACCUAGUAUUAAUUUGAAUCGUGAAAGUCCGUUAUUUUCCAUAUUCAUUAUUUGUUAUGUAAAAAUAAAAAGUACAUUUACCCCACCAUCAUCUGCAUCAAAUUAUUAGUUAAUGCACAAUGAAGUGCUCAAUUGGAUAUAUAAUAGUAGAAUUGACUAAACAAAACUGAAAGCCUCGCUGAUGCACAAGUUUUAUAUUGAGAAAUGGACUACAACAAACAUGUCAUGUAUAUGUAAUGUAAUUAUGAUUCUUGUUUUCCCAUUUCCUAAUUAAGGUUAAAUGAAACAGAUUUGCAAUGGUUAGAUUUAUGACAGUUAAGCUGUGAAAGUAUUGUGAGCGGAGUUGAGGUUAUCUAUGUUUUGGUUGGGGUUUAUAAAAUCAAUUCCACUAACUGAAUAGUAGAUUUCCAUACUUAUUGCAGUCCUUGUGUGUGUUAUUGUUAGUAAUACAUUUGGUGAUGGAGUGGUACCAAAUUUUCGAAAAAUGGUUCAUUGAUGUAUAUUAUUUGCUGUAGAAAUGAUUCAUUGGUUUAUAAUAUAAAUGCCUCGUAAAGCUGGGUGAUCCACACUACAGGGACGGUUGCAAAUUCUUGCUAAUAGUGGCAUAAGACUCAUCUUAGCUUUGGGUUUACCUUUCAUUCUUGUCUGAUCUCUUUGUUUAAUUUUUUUUUUAUUUGUGUGCAAGGGAAUUACUUAAUAAACUAAUUGGCUACAAGAGGGUUGGAAUUACAACACUUUGUGAUACAAUCUCUCAUUCAACUGCUGUGUAGGCUCACAAAGUUUAAUUUGGUAGGUUUGAUGAUUAUAGAUUCAGGGACGUGGUAAAAGAGUCCAUGAGCUUUCUUAGCUAGGUGCUUAUUGUUGUAAAUAUGCUUGUUGAUUUCAUUUGUAAGGUUGACGCAGUACUCAAGAGCAGGUGUUUAGUAGAUAAGUCUUGAUGCUUCCUUUUAGUUUUUGGCUAAAGCUUGUUCCAAUUAGCUUGCACUUCACAUAAAUUAGUUCUCACACUAACAUAGUAGCUUCAAGGAAAUGGUCUUUCCUGUAAGAAAAAACAAAAACAAAAAAAUAAAAGAAAUGUUCUUCAGAAGAGGAGAUGACAAACAGAACACUAACAUACACACACACACACACAGCUAAAACUCUUUCUCUUUCUACUACACACACACAGCUAGAACAAGUGGAUUUGAGUCCAUGAUUUGUGAUCCAUGAUAUACAAUUAUAAUCUUAUUAAAAAUUAAAGCAAUCUCAAAUUUACUGAAAAUGUUUAAUAAUACUCUCUAUAUUUCGAAUCUGGUUUCAAGUGUUAUUGAUUGUUCUUAUCUAUAGUCUUAUUAAGGGUUUUUUAAUUUUAUUACUUUGUAUGCUGGAAAAUAAGUCCUUUUGUGCCUAUUUUAUGAUUUGAAAUAUUUAGUAGGUACUAGGCUCAGCUGCAAAAAAAACUUAAUAUACCUGGCUGUAAUGGCCGAUGCUCAACCGCCAGCGACCAGCAUCAUAAGCAUACAUAUACUUGGAGACCUGAGUUUGAGGAAAGCCAAAAAAUGGCGGCAGAAAGUUUAAAAUAUGCCAAGGAAAUUGCUGAAAAUCAUGAGAUAGAAAAAGCAACAUGAAAGAAGAAAAAAAAUUGCUAUGCACAAAACAUCGAAGGAUAUUACAACCCUUGUCCAACAUUACUGUCUUACUAAGCCUCCUACGUCUACUCUCACCCGCUCUCGUGAUACAUCUAAGUGAUUUUUAAUUUCUUGGUGAUAAUUUUGUGAACAACUAAUCUUCAAUACAUAUUUGUAUAUCGUUAUUAGUAUUUAUUGGAAGUAGUUUAUAUGAGAGGUGAUUUUGAAAAAAAUUAGUCGUAUGGUUGAGAAUGUUGUUUUUUAAUACAUUGAUACAAAACUGAUGAUAAUUUUGAUUUAUUAAUAUGGUUUGGAUAUUUGAAUAAAUUUGACAUUUUUUUUUGUGA